rnacentral:rRNA from 1 species
GAUGAACGCUGGCGGCGUGCCUAAUACAUGCAAGUCGAGCGAACGGACGAGAUGCUUGCUCCUCUGAUGUUAGCGGCGGACGGGUGAGUAACACGUGGAUAACCUACCUAUAAGACUGGGAUAACUUCGGGAAACCGGAGCUAAUACCGGAUAAUAUCUUGAAACGCAUGGUUCAAAAGUGAAAGACGGUCUUGCAGUCCCUUAUAGAUGGAUCCGCGCUUCAUUAGCUAGUUGGUAAGGUAACGGCUUACCAAGGCAAGGAUGCAUAGCCGACCUGAGAGGGUGAUGGGCCACACUGGAACGGAGACACGGUCCAGACUCCUACGGGAGGCAGCAGUAGGGAACCUUCCGCAAUGGGCGAAAGCCUGACGGAGCACCGCCGCUUGAUUGAUGAAGGUCUUCGGAUCGUAAAACUCUGUUAUUAGGGAAGAACAUAUGUGUAAGUAACUGUGCACAUCUUGACGGUACCUAAUCAGAAAGCCACGGCUAACUACGUG